AGGGAACCCGGUGAGAGGCCGGGACUGACGCGCAGCGGUGUGGGUGACGGGCGGGGCACGGUCGCAGACCAGCCACUGGAUCGAGCUGGUCCGGGAAGGCGCCCCGCACCGAUCGAUCCCGAGUCCGAAGACCU
rnacentral:ncRNA from 1 species